rnacentral:misc_RNA from 1 species
GAUGAAGAACGCAGCGAAAUGCGAUAAGUAAUGCGAAUUGCAGAAUUCAGUGAAUCAUCGAAUCUUUGAACGCACAUUGCGCCCCUUGGUAUUCCGAGGGGCAUGCCUGUUCGAGCGUCAUUAUAACCCCUCAAGCUCAGCUUGGUGUUGGGGCCUGCCGCACGGGCAGCCCUUAAAAUCAGUGGCGGUGCCAUCUGGCUCUAAGCGUAGUAAUUCUUCUCGCUAUAGAGUCACGGUGGAUGCUUGCCAUUAACCCCCAAUUUUCAAUGGUUGACCUCGGAUCAGGUAGGGAUACCCGCUGAACUUAAGCAUAUCAAUAAGCGGAGGA